rnacentral:rRNA from 1 species
UACAGAGGUCUCAAGCGUUGUUCGGAUUCAUUGGGCGUAAAGGGUGCGUAGGCGGCGCGGUAAGUCGGGUGUGAAAUCUCGGGGCUUAACUCCGAAACUGCAUUCGAUACUGCCGUGCUUGAGGACUGGAGAGGAGACUGGAAUUUACGGUGUAGCGGUGAAAUGCGUAGAUAUCGUAAGGAAGACCAGUGGCGAAGGCGGGUCCCUGGACAGUUCCUGACGCUGAGGCACGAAGGUCAGGGAGCAAACGGG